rnacentral:misc_RNA from 1 species
UGGUGGUGCCCGGCUUGG